UCUCCGUUGGUGAACCAGCGGAGGGAUCAUUAAAGAGUUGCAAGACUCCCACACCAUUGUGAACGUACCUACCCAACCGUUGCCUCGGCGGCGCGCCCCCCCGCGGGGCGGUCCGCCGGCGGCACGCGAAACCAUGUUUUCUCCCGGCCUCUCUGAGUAACUUAUACCAAUAAGUCAAAACUUUCAACAACGGAUCUCUUGGUUCUG
rnacentral:misc_RNA from 1 species